GACGAACGCUGGCGGCGUGCUUAACACAUGCAAGUCGAACGAUGAAGCCGGAGCUUGCUCCGGUGGAUUAGUGGCGAACGGGUGAGUAACACGUGAGCAAUCUGCCCUUGACUCUGGGAUAACUGCGGGAAACUGUAGCUAAUACCGGAUACGACACCUUGGGGCAUCCCAGGGUGUGGAAAGAAUUUCGGUCAAGGAUGAGCUCGCGGCCUAUCAGCUAGUUGGUGAGGUAAUGGCUCACCAAGGCGACGACGGGUAGCCGGCCUGAGAGGGUGACCGGCCACACUGGAACUGAGACACGGUCCAGACUCCUACGGGAGGCAGCAGUGGGGAAUAUUGCACAAUGGGCGAAAGCCUGAUGCAGCAACGCCGCGUGAGGGAUGAAGGCCUUCGGGUUGUAAACCUCUUUCAAUAGGGACGAAGCGCAAGUGACGGUACCUAUAGAAGAAGCACCGGCCAACUACGUGCCAGCCGCCGCCGUAA
rnacentral:rRNA from 1 species